UACGGGGGGGGCAAGCGUUGUUCGGAAUUACUGGGCGUAAAGGGCUCGUAGGCGGCCAACUAAGUCAGACGUGAAAUCCCUCGGCUUAACCGGGGAACUGCGUCUGAUACUGGAUGGCUUGAAUCCGGGAGAAGGAUGCGGAAUUCCAGGUGUAGCGGUGAAAUGCGUAGAUAUCUGGAGGAACACCGGUGGCGAAGGCGGCAUCCUGGACCGGCAUUGACGCUGAGGAGCGAAAGCCAGGGGAGCAAACGGG
rnacentral:rRNA from 1 species